GUGGAUGUCGCCAAGUGGUUACGGCACUGGGUUGUGGUUCCAGCAUUCGCGGGUUCAAAUCCCGUCAUUCACC
rfam:Aureococcus anophagefferens strain CCMP 1984 chloroplast, complete genome.